UCGCGGGGCGGAGCUUGGUCGCGGGGUGGAGCCCGGUCGCGGGGCGGAGCUUGGUCGCGGGGCGGAGCUUGGUCGCGUGGCGGAGCCCGGUCGCGGGGUGGAGUCCGGUCGACGUGAGGUUUAGUUGAAGUGCGGUUUAAUCGAAGCAAGGUUUAGUGAGGUGUGAGGUUUAGUUGAGGUGAAGCUUAGUCUAGGUAUGUUACAAAACCUACCUGAAUCGCCAUUGGGAAUCUGCCCUCAGCCAUGUCGGCGAUUAUGGCGCUGUUUGGAGGGGGCGGGUUUAAAACGCGAUUUUUACUAGGCUGCACUAAUCGCACAUGUUCAGCCUAGUAAAUCAUUAACAAAAAAUCGCUGCAAGACCCGGUCGCAAAAGGUAUUAUUAGUUUUAUAGGCCUCGAUAAUAUAGUUAUAAUAGUCUUAAAAUUACUGUUUUAUUCCGCGACCUCUCGCAGCCCCAGGGUUUUAUAGAGCAAACAAUUAAAGGUAUGUACCUUAUUUUUACAUUAAAUGGAGCAUAUAUAUAACCCUGUAAUUAAAGUUAUCUAUAGCGAAUAGUUUAUUUUGGGCUUUUUAUAUCCCGCAGUAUUUUUCUCGGCAUUUGAGGGCACUAAUCUAGCGCGCUGUCAACAUUCUAAACCAGCGCGUUCACAGAAACCCACUGGAAAGCCGAUUUAAAUGGGCAUUUAUUUACAGCAAUUGAACACUAAAUUCCUUCCAUUUGGCCUAUAAAUUAAUGUAAAUUAGAUAUAAAAAUCAUGUUAUAUUGUGAAUUAUUUGUGAAUAAUCUUUGGACACUUAGGCUAUUUAAAAAUGUUAAUCUUUCCUUAAGAAAUGGCCUGUUGACUAUCCAAGAUCACAGCUUUUUUGUAAUGUCCAUUGAAAAUCAAUAGGGAACAAGAUGCUAAUUUCUGAGUAUGAAAAUGGCCAUAACUUUUUUAAUACUUGAGAUAUGAAAGUGAAUUUGGUGUCAAAUUAAACUUAUUGUUAUGCUUUAUCUGAUGGGAUAAAUUGCAGACUUGAUUUUUAAAAUCUCAAAAUUUUGUAACAUUGCUACUUAGUCGAGGCGAGGUUUUGUAGUGAGGUGUGAGGUAUCGUCGAGGUGAGGGGUUUUAGAGGUGUAGGUGAGGAGAAGUGAGCGUAGGUGAGGUGAGGAGAAGUGGGUGUCUGAGCUCAGGAAGGGAGAUCGAGGAGCUGCUGAAGGAGAUGAGACCAUGUCUGGGACGCAGGGCCCAGAGGUGAGACUCCAGGGAGCUUUGUCAUGGAGAGCGAGUGGGCAAAAGAUGCCGGAUAAAUGUACUGUCAGGGGCCUGGGAACGGGGAAGAUGCUGCUGCUCCUUCUCAGACCAUCACAACCCCAGGAAUUGGUGUCAGUGAGGAGUGGAUGAGUUCCCUGGGCUCUGGAGUGGAUCACUGACAUUAAUAUUGAUCUGUGACUGAGACCAUUCAGACCAUCUCCCUCAUCCUUAUUUUAAUUUAAUAGUGGCACUGAGUGAUAACUUUGGCACUGGCUCUGGCCACUUAAAUCAGCUGCCCUCGACAUUUUAUGACUGUUUUUACUUGUAUUUUAAUAGCUACUACCCUACAGCCAUCAGGCUAUUAAACCUGGCUCGGACAAAACUCUGAUUAUUAAUAACCACUUUCUGUUAUUUGCACUUUACCAGUUUAUUUAUUCAUGUGUGUAUAUAUUUAUAUCAUGGUAUAUGGACACAUUUAUCUGUUUUGUAGUCAAUGCCUAAUAUUUUCUGUGUGCUUAAGCAAAGCAAGAAUUUCAUUGUCCUAUACAGGGACACAUGACAAUAAACUCACUUGAACUUGCUGUUUUUACCUGCACUUUUUAAAACUAUUCAUAUAACCAUAUAACCAUAUAACAAUUUACAGCACGGAAACAGGCCAUCUCGGCCCUACAAGUCCAUGCCGAACAAAUUUUGUUCCCCUUAGUCCCACCUGCCUGCACUCGUACCAUAACCCUCCAUUCCCUUCUCAUCCAUAUGCCUAUCCAAUUUAUUUUUAAAUGAUACCAAUGAACCUGCCUCCACCACUUCCACUGGGAGCUCAUUCCACACCGCCACCACUCUCUGCGUAAAGAAGUUCCCCCUCAUAUUCGUACUGUUUUAUCAGGAACUGGAUUGUUUUUUAUCGUUUUUAUUUUAUGCAUGAAAUGUUAAAGUUUUUUUAUGUGCGAUGCUCCGGUAUCCCUGGGAAACGUCUUCUCAUUUUGCACUGUACAACUUGCUUUGCAAGAUGACAAUAAAGGAUGAUAAUGAUAAUCCUUCUAGUUGUCUGUCUCCAUCUGGCAACUUUCCCCAGCUGUGAGGAAAGAAUAUUAACCUGAAACAUUAACUCCGUUUCUCCCUCCACAGAUGCUGCCUGGUUUGCUGAAUAUCUCUGACAAUUUAUUCUUGUUUACAACCGUGGUUUUGCAGCUGCCACUGGGCGCUGCUCCUGACUUCAGUGUGGGGGAAGCCCAUGAUAGUCACUGUCUUCAUUGCCACAAAUGUAGCCAUUGAUGUCUGUUGGCUGCAAGCUGCAAUCUUGAUGGGCAACAUUUUGGGUCUGGACCUUUCAGGAUGAUGACCAUUUCAACGACAUUACUGGCUAUUUUUCCAAGGAAGCGUUUGAAGAACUAAUGGACUGGGAGAAGGUCCGCUAUAAGAACAUAAAACGGAAUUAUGAAGCCAUGGUUGCCAUUGGUUUGUACAAAAUAUUAUAUUAUUUUUCCCUUUUUGCCCUUCUCUAAUGAUGCAUGCUGACAUGAGUAUUUUUCCCCACAUGAAACUAAAUAGAUAUGUGCUUUCUGAGCCAGGUACUUGGUAAGAUACUUCCAUUUCAUCUACUAUGGAUCGGUAUUCAACACUAUCAUCCCCUCCAAAUGACCAGUAAGGUCCAAUACCUGGUUAUCUACCUUCCUUUGCAACUGGAUACUAGAGAGAGAGAGGGAAACUCUGGUUGAGUGAUGCUGCAACAAUAACCUCUAGCUGAAGUCUUAACAAACUUGUACAGAUGUACUGCAGAAAGUAUCCUGACUGGUUGCAUCUUGGCUUGCUAAGGCAAUCCAAUGCACAGGAAUGCAAGCGACUGUAUGGUGUGCUGAACUCAGCCCAGUCCAUCACAGGCACACUUCUCCCCACCAUCAAUAAUAUCCAUAUGAGAACCCACCUCAAGAAGGCAGCAUCACUCAUCAAGGUUCCCAUUCAUCCAGGCCGUUCUCUCAUCUCACUGCUACAAUCAGGUAGGAGGUACUGAAGCCUGAAGUCCCACACCAACAGUUUCAGGAUCAGCUACUUUCCUACAACUAUAUUCUUGAAUCCAUUUGUGCAAUCCUAAUGCAACCGUAAUUCCUCUUGCAGUACCAUGGACAUUUCGUAACAACAUGAUUUGACUGAUGUCUUGUAGAUUUACACAGUCCUCUCGUAACAGUCUUACAGAAUUACUGUAUAAUUAAUGUUUUAUGUUUAUCCGUCUUGUAUCUAUAUCGUUAAUACAUACAACACUAAACUUGACAUAAUUUGGAAAAAUUGGGAUCGGGAUCAAACAAGCCUGUGUCAUCACUUGUGCAUGCCUGAGACCGAGUUAUUCCAGCACUUUGUGUUUUAUCCUUGAACUUCCUCUCUUAACUUGUCACUGCUCCCUCAAGUACAGCACUGUCCUGCAAAACAUUUCCAUAAUGA